UCUUCGGGUCCCCAGGGGCUAUGCAUGGAUCCCAGACGAGCCCCCAAAUGAAAGAACCUCGCUCAAGUCUUGGGAUGGCGCACCCCAGGAAACACGAGAGACC
rnacentral:pre_miRNA from 14 species